GGCGGCGCGGGUCCUCUCGGGCGCACACCCCGAGUCCGCGCCCCGAGGUGGCGUCGCCCGCGAUGCAGCGCUCCCGGGCCGCGGCUCUGGCCGUCAGAGUCGUUUACUGCGGUGCCUGAGGCUACAAGCCCAAGUAUCUUCAACUCAAGAAGAAGUUGGAAGAUGAGUUCCCCGGACGCCUGGACAUCUGCGGCGAGGGGACUCCCCAGGUCACCGGGUUCUUUGAAGUCAUGGUAGCAGGGAAGUUGGUUCACUCUAAGAAGGGAGGCGAUGGCUACGUGGACACAGAGAGCAAGUUUCUGAAGCUGGUGGCCGCCAUCAAAGCCGCCUUGGCUCAGGCGGUGUGCCCUGAAGGCGGAGCCCCGUGACCUGGGCCCAGCCCCUCUCGGCAGACGCUUCAUGAUGGGAUGGACUGAAAUGUCUCCAGACGCCGGUCUUUUCCUGAUGUUCUGCGGCUGCCGGGCAGACAGCGCCCUGGUCUUUGCCUGUGUGUGUGUGUGUGUGUGUGUGUGUGUGUGUGUGUAUGCGCGCAUGUGUGCGGCUCCCUGGAAUCCAGCGUUGCACACUGGCCCUGUCCCCCACUUUCGCCAUCUCCCUGCUUGCACUCCCCGGGUCUCCCUGUCCCCCCUCUGGUGUUUGGGCCGGUCCAGCUCCAGCUUUCUUUCCCAAGGAGGAGCCAAGAGUGGGAUCCGAUUUCAGCCGUGUUUGCAACGUUCACAGUUCAAUAAAUAUUGAAUGAGUUUAGCAGA